GUGAAUCAUCGAAUUUUUGAACGCAAAUUGCACUCUCUGGUAUUCCGGGGAGUAUGCCUGUUUGAGGGUCAGUUUAAAUUAAAAAUCGAGUUGUUGCUUUCUUUUGUGGCGCAUCGGAGUUGGGUUAUCUUUGUCUUUUGGGUUAUGUAAGAUAAAUUUAAUUGAUAUUUUGUGCAUCUCAUACGAACAAAA
rnacentral:misc_RNA from 1 species